AUUCUUUCACACUAUCAAUGAUAGAUAAUUUCUAUGUUAAAUAAGAGUCCUAAACAACCCAGAAAUCGAUAAGGUCAGUGAAAAACUCAAAAAUAGUAUAGCAAGCACAUUACAUGACAAAGAAAUGCAAUUUCAAAUGUGACUUUGGAACCCGAUAUUAUCCCCAAAUACAUAUUUACAUACAAGUUGACUUAUCAGUACAAGAUGCAAGGUGCUCGAAUUAUCGAUAUGGGACCAGACCAUCUUGGAUUCUUAGUUCUAGCACUUGAACAGGAGCCACGGUUUAAAUUACAGCUAGAAUUAUGAUAUUUUUGCUGUAUAUUUAUAGUCUUCACAUCACUUUUUAAAUUAUUAUGAAGUUUGAGAAGUAUAGAACGGAAAUAUGUUAUUAUAACCUGGAAGACUCCACCUUGAACCUUACUGUCACCUGAUUGCUCCAAGUAAAUUAGCACCAUCAAGCUUUGCUCCUUCCAAAUG
rnacentral:lncRNA from 1 species